CAUGAUCGUCUAGAUGAGGCC
rnacentral:siRNA from 1 species